rnacentral:ncRNA from 1 species
CGUUGCUGUUCGGGGUGUUUCCCGGUUAAUGCCGGGAUUCUGAGAUCAUACCCAUAGAACCUGCCCGGGUAAUGCCGGGAAGGGAGACGAGUAAAAGUGCUU